rnacentral:rRNA from 1 species
UACGGGGGGAGCAAGCGUUGUUCGGAUUUACUGGGCGUAAAGGGCGCGUAGGCGGCCACUGCAAGUCGGUUGUGAAAUCUCCGGGCUUAACCCGGAAAGGUCAACCGAUACUGCAGGGCUAGAGUGCAGAAGGGGCAACUGGAAUUCUCGGUGUAGCGGUGAAAUGCGUAGAUAUCUGGAGGAACACCGGUGGCGAAGGCGGCACCCUGGACCAAUACUGACGCUGAGGAGCGAAAGCCAGGGGAGCAAACGGG